UACGAAGGGGGCUAGCGUUGCUCGGAAUUACUGGGCGUAAAGGGCGCGUAGGCGGACAGUUUAGUCAGAGGUGAAAGCCCAGGGCUCAACCUUGGAAUAGCCUUUGAUACUGGCUGUCUUGAGUUCGAGAGAGGUGAGUGGAAUACCGAGUGUAGAGGUGAAAUUCGUAGAUAUUCGGCGGAACACCAGUGGCGAAGGCGACUCACUGGCCCGAUACUGACGCUGAGGCGCGAAAGCGUGGGGAGCAAACAGG
rnacentral:rRNA from 1 species